rnacentral:rRNA from 1 species
UACGGGAGGCAGCAGUGAGGAAUAUUGGUCAAUGGACGAGAGUCUGAACCAGCCAAAUCGCGUGAAGGAAGACUGCCCUACGGGUUGUAAAUUCUUUUGUACAGGAAUAAAAGACAUUACGUGUAGUGUAUUGCAUUACUUACGAGUAGCUCGUCCGC